GCGGCGGCGGCGGCCUCGGAUCUGGGCGCGUAUCCGGGAGGAGGUCGUCGAUGACGGCGGAGCUGGGCCAGAGCGGGAAGAGGUGGUGGAGUCGGGGCGGCGGCGGUGGGGGUCGGAGGUCGCGGAGGCCGACGCGACGCAGCUUCCUCAUCCUUUCUUUGGAUUAGUUCGCCCCCAGAACAAGUGGCAGCUAUGUCGACAGAUUUGCGGCCUUCUUCUCUUUGUAGCUUCCUUUCAUGUUUUAUCUAGCUAAGUAGUACUGUACAAAUUCUUCCAUCUUUCUUUCUUUCAGAUUCAGAUUCAGAUUCAGAUGGAUGGAUCUGCUACAAAAUUCAUCAGCUGCAGCCUGCACACAGCAGGACAAGAUUAAUUAUAUAUAUUGGCGACUUUUUAAAGGACUAAUUGGUAACGAGCAUUUCUAUUGAGGAGAGCAUAAUAUCCGGGACAGCAUCUGCGUUUUGAUUUUGAAAAAUAAGAAUCAAGCGAAAAGAGGCAACCGGCGGACAGAGUUGCUGCGCAGCGGCGGCGGCGGCCUCGGAUCUGGGCUAUGAUUGAGCUUCCUUAUCCGGGAGGAGGUCGUCGAUGACGGCGGAGCUGGGCCAGAGCGGGAAGAGGUGGUGGAGUCGGGGCGGCAGCGGAAUGGGUCGGAGGUCGACUCGGGGCGGCGGUGGGGGUCGGAGGUGCCCCGGCCGACGCGAGGCAGCUUCCUCAUCCUCUCAUUGGGGCUCUACGUUCCGGCCCCUUCCAAUAUAAUGUGGUUUUAGCUCAAUCCAAUCCAAUCCAAUCCAAAUAUCCAAUCCAAUCCAAUCAAUCAGAUUCAGAUGGAUGGAUCUGCUACAAAAUACUACUACAAAAUUCAUCAGCUGCAGCCUACAGCAGGACAAGAUUAACUAUAUAUAUUGGCGACUUUUUAAAGGAUUAAUUGGUAACCAGCAUUUCUAUCGAUAUGCGUUUCGAUUUUGAAGAAAUAAGAAUCAAGGUACUCUCGAAAUCUUGUUACUGUAUUUACUUUCGUUGUAUGGUUAUUAUCUACACCUGUUCUGAAUAUAUAUAUGAUAUCCUCUUGCAACUUCAGUCAUGCCUUUCCAUGUUGGUUGUUCGUUGAUGCACUUUAGCUCACAACUAGCCAGCCCAACUUAUACAAUAUUUAUCGAAAAGACUAAACGCCGUUAGCCAAGUCCGAUGAGCAAUGGGUACUCGAGUUAGGUGCCAUCUCUCUUUCGGAACCAAGGAUUGAAUAUAUAUAUAUGUCUCAUGAAGAAUAGUUACAUACAUAUAGUUGUAGCACACCAGUAUCUGCCAUUUAUGUCAUGCAAAAGAGCCAAAAAGGACUCCAUCUCCCACCAAACGAGAAGAGCCGGCCACCUAACCAAAUACAAUACUACAAGAUUAAGCUAGCAAGUUUUCUGCUGGCUUAAUCAAAUCUGCCACUUGCUAAAAACAUAUUGGAGCUAGCUGACACAGAGUAUAUAUUGUCUCUCCUGGUUGGAUGUGCUCAAGCAACUCUCUGCUUCUUAAUUCCUUGAGGUUUGUCGCUACCUUUUCCGCGUGGUUACCUACCAGUUGAGGCUGUUGGUUCAAGGAGCUGUCUUGCCCACCUACCCCUAGACAAAAAUACCAUUAUCUUCAACCCAAUCCUCACACAACCAUUCUGGUUAGCAGUGUCACCAUGCAUUAGUGGACUUGGGGGGUGUGAUUGUGGGGGCGUGGGGUUAUUCCUUCAAAUUUGAUCUUUGUCUGUUGCUGAUUCCUCAAUAUUAGGGGGAAUAUUCUCAAAAAUAUUGGCUAAAUAUUUAUUUAUUUUUAGAAUACCAUGAAAUCUUUGGAAUAACUAAAUAAUGGCCCAGAUACUAAAAAAAGAGAAAAAUCUUCCGGUGCUGGUUCGAAAUCAGAAUUAAUAACUGAGGGAGAAGCUAGAAUUAAUGAUCGAAUGUUUCUUCCUUACCUUUUUAGUUGUCAAUUUCUUUCUCCAUAACUGCCCAUCUGCUUUGUUUCUAGCAUUGCACUCAGAUUUUUUCUAGAAAGUUAAUUUCAAGUUUGCGAAAAUUAAGGUAGAAGAACUUGCUGCUGGUAAGUGAAGGUGGUCGCUGGCUGUCAGUUCUGUUCUCAUUCUAGAAACAUGUAUAUGAUUACUUUACUGGAUAGUAGUUUGUGACACAUAGAUAAGUUUAACGUUUUUAUUGAUGUGUCAUCCACACCUGUUCUGAAUAUAUCCUCUUGCAACUUCA